AUCCCUGUAGCUCAGUUGGUAGAGCAUGGUGCUUGCAACGCCAGGGUUGUGGGUUUGAUUCCCACGGGGGGCC
rnacentral:tRNA from 1 species